GUCUUGGGCUUCACGCAUGCUACAAUGGCCGGUACAAAGGGCUGCGAUACCGUAAGGUGGAGCGAAUCCCAAAAAGCCGGUCUCAGUUCGGAUUGGGGUCUGCAACUCGACCCCAUGAAGUCGGAGUCGCUAGUAAUCGCAGAUCAGCAACGCUGCGGUGAAUACGUUCCCGGGCCUUGUACACACCGCCCGUCAAGUCACGAAAGUCGGUAACACCCGAAGCCCAUGGCCCAACCGUUCGCGGGGGGAGUGGUCGAAGGUGGGACUGGCGAU
rnacentral:rRNA from 1 species